rnacentral:lncRNA from 1 species
AAUAUUAUAGCAAUUUAAUAUUUUGUUGUUCUCUUACAAAGAUAGCAAGAGGUUUUUUUAUAUCAUAUAAAGUGAUAAAUAGUUGUUGUUUGUUACAUGCUAAACAAGAAGAAAAAAUGACUAAAAUUUUCAAGUUGGUGUAUGCAAUGAUCCUCAUAUUUUUCCUAUUUUUUGUUGUAACUAACGCUUGUAAGUCUUUCUUCUCUUCAUUUUCAAAUUUCUAUUUUACCAAUAUAUAUAGACAUUAUCUUUAAUUCGACCUUAUUUAAUAAUAGUAUUUUUAUUAUUGUUUUACAUCACAGCUAGUAAUUGUACUACUUCCCUUAAUUGUGUACAUGCUGAUUGUAUGGCACCAGCAAUGCCAAUAUGCUUGAUGGAGGAAUGUGUAUGCGUUUAACAUGUAAGUAAAAAAAUAGUAAUUUUAAAAUCGAAUCGGGUCUAACUCAACCUUAUAAAAUACUAAGUUUGUAAUGUGAGGAUUGUCUUCACUUAUAAACACACAUUUAGGUGAGUUUAUAAAUGAGUUAGGCCAAUCACCUAUUUUUUAAGAUGAUAUUAAAGUCUCUUCAAGAUUUGUUGGGUCACCCGCUAUCGGGUCACCUACCAUUUAUAUUCACGCAUGAGUGCUGGACGUGAGGAGGGUGUUAAAAAGUCUCACAUCAGAUGUGAGAUAACCUGAACAAGAGUUUAUAAGUAAGAGGCAAUCAUCAUUUUACAAAUCAGUUUUGUAAUAUAAGUUAGGUCAAAUAUCUAUUUUUUAAUAAAUAAUUCUAUUAAUCGACAAAAAAAAAUUCUAUUAAUUACUUAACCGUCAAAAAAAUAUUCUAUUAAUUACUUCUAUAAUUGCAUAUAGUUGUAUUUACAAUUACAUGUAUGUCAUGGUGAAUUAUGCUAUUUUUAUGAUUUCUUUCGUACUUUGAAUUAUAUUUAUCUAACAUUUUAAUUUAUUUCACAGGUUAAGCAAAUGUGGAAAAGAUAAUACCUUAUUCACAAAUAAUUAUUUGUGUUCUUUUUUUUUUACGGAAUUAUUUGUCUCAAUUAGGAAUAUCUGUUCCGCACAUAGUCACGUUGUGAUCUUUCUUUUCUAGGCGUUACGAUCUUUUUAUGUGUUAUUUAUUUUUGAUGCAAGCAAAAUAAUGUAAUUUGACAAUUGCCUUUAAUAUAGUGUAAUUUAUUUUCAAUUUAUUAGCUAUAAAAUUUAAGUUU